UGUAUUACAACAAAAUUAGUAUGUAAGAUAACAUAGUUACAAAUAGGUGGGAAUCCAGAGGAUUGAUUUCUUUUUCUUUCUUUUCUUUCAAUUUUAUUUAUUUAUUCAUGAGAGACACACAGAGAGAGGCAGAGACAUAGGCAGAGAGAGAAGUAAGUUCCCUGCGGGGAGCCUGAUGUGACACUCAAUCCCAGGACACUGGGAUCAUGACCUGAGCUGAAGGCCGAUGCUCAACCACUGAGCCACCCAGGUGCCCCCCCGGAGGGUUUCUUCUGGGAGAAUUUGAUAGGCAUCUCUGAGAAGAUACUCAAAGGGGAAUCACAGUCUCUUGAUAGAUGACUUUUUGAUAAAUCGAUAAUAAAAAUAAUAGUUAAUGUGUAUUGAGCCCUUAUAUACCUUAUCAAAUGUAAAACGCACUUUACAUUUCUAACUGAAGGGAUCCUCAGAAGAGCACCAGGGAAUACUUAGUAUUAAUCUCCUUGUAUUACACGUAAGGAAACAGGUUCACAAGUCUAAACACAUUGCCCAAGAUCACAAACUAGUGAGCAGCAAAGCCAGGCUAACCCCCAGAUGGGCCCUUCCCAAAGCCUGUAUUCUUGUUUGCCUCAUUUGUUUACCUAACUUCCUUUUCUUCUUACCAUUUAGGUGGACAUCAGACUCUACUCUUGUUCCCCCUUGGGAUGCUCUCCUUCCAUUCUGCAAGGUGCUCCUUUCGGUGCUGUGAUGGAACAGUUACAGGGAUAUUUCUGGCAUAAUGCUCAAGGGUUGCUGCAGGAUGAGGGCCUCUUGUCUUGUGGCCCCCUGCCUGGAGGAGGCUUGGGAACCUCUCUACCACUUAUCCAUGGAAUGGGUCUCAUCACUUUUCCAGAUGUCUGGCCCAAAGCCCCUGCUGUUUCAUCUUUAAGAGUGUCUACAUCCGGGUUUUUAGCACACAUAUUUCUUACCUCAUAGAGUGGGUGCACUUAUCAGAAGUUGGGUAUGACAGCUAGAUUUCCACAGGGGAAUAAAACUGAGGCUGUUUCUGAAAACCACACUUGACCCUGCUGUGAUUCCUUCCUGCGCGGCUGUUCUGAGGAACGGUAGUCGUGUGUCUCCGUCCACCUUCUCUCCCACC
rnacentral:lncRNA from 1 species